CAUAACAUCUUCACUUUGCUCUCUGUAAAUUCCCUUUAUAGACACAUAUGCACUAACGGAUCCCUUAGGAAUAGUAAAACGCUACCAUACAAGAAGCCACUAGUACUACUAAGAAGCAGGCUAUACGGGAGAUUCUGGCUUAUGCAGCGGGACUCUUAAAGAAGACACUACUGUUCUACAGCUGAGAGUGCCCACGUAAACAUAUCCAUAUGUUUAGUGGCUCGACGAAAAUGAGGCGAACACAUUGUUGAUUCAGACCCAUCAUGUUGAGGCUUGAGGUCACCCUGUCUCAGGCUUGGCUAGUUAGCAGCAGCCCACCUGAUGGCCCAGAGGAAAUCACAGCAGCCGCGCUCACAGGAGAGGGCCUGACAGCUAAGGCCCCACACCAGAGA